ACACCUACGGGACGCAGCAGUGAGGAAUAUUGGUCAAUGGGCGGAAGCCUGAACCAGCCAAGUCGCGUGAGGGAAUAAGGCCCUACGGGUCGUAAACCUCUUUUGCCGGGGAGCAAGGGCGGGGACGUGUCCCGGCCCGGAGAGUGCCCGGAGAAAAAGCAUCGGCUAACUCCGUGCCAGCAGCCGCGGUAAUACGGAGGAUGCGAGCGUUAUCCGGAUUUAUUGGGUUUAAAGGGUGCGUAGGCGGGCUUUUAAGUCAACGGUAAAACUUCGGGGCUCAACCCCGUCCGGCCGGU
rnacentral:rRNA from 1 species